GGGGCGGUAGCUCAGAGACAGAGCAUCUGCUUUGUAUGCACAAGGUCCUGGGUUUGAUCCCCAGUUCCCCUU
rnacentral:tRNA from 1 species